GAUGAACGCUGGCGGCGUGCCUAAUACAUGCAAGUCGAGCGAACGGACGAGAAGCUUGCUUUUCUGAUGUUAGCGGCGGACGGGUGAGUAACACGUGGAUAACCUACCUAUAAGACUGGGAUAACUUCGGGAAACCGGAGCUAAUACCGGAUAAUAUUUUGAACCGCAUGGUUCAAAAGUGAAAGACGGUCUUGCUGUCACUUAUAGAUGGAUCCGCGCUGCAUUAGCUAGUUGGUAAGGUAACGGCUUACCAAGGCAACGAUGCAUAGCCGACCUGAGAGGGGGAUAGGCCACACUGGAACGGAGACGGGGUCCAGACGACUACGGGAGGCAGCAGUAGGGAAUCGGCCGCAAUGGGCGAAAGCCUGACGGAGCAACGCCGCGUGAGUGAUGAAGGUCUUCGGAUCGUAAAACUCUGUUAUUAGGGAAGAACAUAUGUGUAAGGAACUGUGGACAUCGUGACGGUACCUAAUCAGAAAGCCACGGCUAACUACGUG
rnacentral:rRNA from 1 species